rnacentral:rRNA from 1 species
CAGCCGUAAACAAUGUGCGUUAGGUGUGUCGGUAACCACGCGUUACUGAUGCGCCGAAGAGAAAUCGUGAAACGCACCACCUGGGAAGUACGGUCGCAAGGCUGAAACUUAAAGGAAUUGGCGGGGGAGCACCACAACAGGUGGAGCCUGCGGUUUAAUUGGAUUCAACGCCGGACAUCUCACCGGAUAAGACAGCUGAAUGAUUGUCAAUCUGAAGACCCUGCAUGACCAGCUGAGAGGUGGUGCAUGGCGUAGUCGUGU